GGAUUUGUUCCGUAACAAGGAUGGAAAGUAUUGCCAAAGAAAACAAGGAUGGAAAGUAUAACAGCUUACAAAAACCAACGUGGACAACACAGAUCUGGAACUCGAGUAAAUCAUACUCACAAAUAAGUUUUUGAGAAGAGAGACUUGGAAACCAGAGAAGAGGAGCGAAGAUCAAGACUAGAAUCUGAAAAAAAACAUGAUGGCAAAGUUUACAAAAUUGAGCCAACAGAUGGGAACCCAACAGAUGAUUACAUUCAUAUGCUUGCGACCUUGUAAGAUUUAUGUUGCUUAAUUGCAUUGCUAAAAGUGCACUUCUAUUUUCAGGUGCUAACGAAGAGGAUUAACAAAGAAAAUAGUAUCCAAACUUGCAAAAUACUCUUUUACAUAGAUCUACUCCUAAUAAGACUCCAGUUGCAAGGACAACUGUUAUUUCUUCAAAUGCUCUCAUACAAGUUGCAACGAGGAAUUCUCGAAUGUUUAAAGCAAUGGAUCCAAAGAACUAGCUGGACUGGACUCUAGAUCAUGGACAAUUUAGUUUGGCACUUAAUUAGGAUGGCUAAAUUACAUCUGAGUUUCAUUUGAUGGAUAUUUACUAUGAGAAUUAUGAAUUUAUGAAUGUACAUAUUAUAUGUAUUGUUUGGAAUAUUGUUAUUGAAUGCCUGUAUUUUUUUUACGGUUGCAAUGGGCUAUUACCACAACCAACUUUUGGUUGAA